rnacentral:misc_RNA from 1 species
GAGCGAUGCUUGGAGGCGGGGGCCGAUAUGAUUAUGAUCGAUGCUGAUGAUGUCAGCAAGUACACUGAGUUGCUGAGAACUGACAUAGUUGCGAAGAUCGUGGGUCGUUUAGGACUGGACAAAACCAUGUUCGAAGCUUCCAACUCAAAGACGUCCGAGUGGUUUGUUAGACGAUAUGGACCGAGGGUGAAUCUCUUUGUUGAUCAUUCUCAGGUGAUGAAUCUGGAGUGUCUGCGUGGCUACAAUUUGGGCAAAAACCAUAGGUCAGUUAUCGGCCAUUCGUAUUUGCUGAUGUGAGGAUGCUUUACUUUUGGUGAAAACUUGCUAUGCGAAGAUGAUAUGUAGUUGAAGUUUUAUGUUAUGUA